rnacentral:rRNA from 1 species
UUCGAGUGGCGGACGGGUGAGUAACGCGUGGGUAACCUGCCUUACACAGGGGGAUAACACCUGGAAACAGGUGCUAAUACCGCAUAAGCGCACAGGGCCGCAUGGCCCGGUGUGAAAAACUCCGGUGGUGUAAGAUGGACCCGCGUCUGAUUAGCUCGUUGGCGGGGUAGGGGCCCACCAAGGCGACGAUCAGUAGCCGGCCUGAGAGGGUGGACGGCCACAUUGGGACUGAGACACGGCCCAAACUCCUACGGAAGGCAGCAG